rnacentral:rRNA from 1 species
AUGGUUGGACGAAAUAUUAACUGUUUCAUUUAAAUUUUUUAUAGAAUUUUAUUUUUUAGUCAAAAAGCUAAAAUAUAUUUAAAAGACGAGAAGACCCUAUAAAUCUUUAUAUUUUAUUUAUUUUAAUUAUAAAGAUUAAUUUGAUUUUAAUAAAUUAAAAUAUUUUAUUGGGGUGAUAUUAAAAUUUAAAAAACUUUUAAUUUUUAAAAACAUUAAUUUAUGAAUAAUUGAUCCAUUAAUAAUGAUUAAAAAAUUAAGUUACUUUAGGGAUAACAGCGUAAUUUUUUUGGAGAGUUCAUAUCGAUAAAAAAGAUUGCGACCUCGAUGUUGGAUUAAGAUAUAAUUUUGGGUGUAGCCGUUCAAAUUUUAAGUCUGUUCGACUUUUAAAUUCUUACAUGAUCUGAGUUCAAACCGGUGUAAGCCAGGUUGGUUUCUAUCUUUAAAAAAUUAUAAUAUUUUAGUACGAAAGGACCAAAUAUUAAAAUAAUUAUAUUUUUAAAUAUGAAUAUUAUUAAUAU